rnacentral:rRNA from 1 species
AGAGUUUGAUCAUGGCUCAGAACGAACGCUGGCGGCGUGCCUAACACAUGCAAGUCGAGCGCGAAAGGGGGGGCAACUCCCCGAGUAGAGCGGCGCACGGGUGAGUAACGCGUGGGUAACCUACCCCUGGGCGGGGGAUAACCACUCGAAAGGGUGGCUAAUACCGCAUGAGACCACGAGGCCUUCGGGCCCCGAGGCCAAAGGCGGCACCGGCUUGCCGGUGCUGUCACCCGGGAAUGGGCCCGCGUACGAUUAGCUAGUUGGUAGGGUAACGGCCUACCAAGGCUACGAUCGUUCGCUGGUCUGAGAGGAUGACCAGCCACACUGGAACUGGAACACGGUCCAGACUCCUACGGGAGGCAGCAGUGAGGAAUAUUGCGCAAUGGGGGAAACCCUGACGCAGCAACGCCGCGUGGGUGAAGAAGGCCUUCGGGUCGUAAAGCCCUUUCGGACGGGACGAACGCUUCGCGGUGACAACCCGCGAAGCCUGACGGUACCGUAAGAAGAAGCACCGGCUAACUCCGUGCCAGCAGCCGCGGUAAUACGGAGGGUGCAAGCGUUGUUCGGAAUUACUGGGCGUAAAGCGCGUGUAGGCGGCCUGGCAAGUCAGAUGUGAAAGCCCUCGGCUUAACCGGGGAAGGGCAUCUGAAACUGCCUGGCUUGAGUACGGGAGAGGGAGGCGGAAUUCCCAGUGUAGAGGUGAAAUUCGUAGAGAUUGGGAGGAACACCAGUGGCGAAAGC